AGCACUUGCAUGUUUGUCUUUAAUUUGUAACAAAGCCUUACAAACAGGUGGAAACAGUAAAUUCUCUUUUGCAACCCAGAUCUUAUUGUGGAGUAUGAGAUUUUGUUAGAUGUAAGAAGGAAUAUG